rnacentral:rRNA from 1 species
CCUACGGGCGGCAGCGGUGGGGAAUAUUGGACAAUGGGGGGAACCCUGAUCCAGCCAUGCCGCGUGUGUGAAGAAGGCCCUCGGGUUGUAAAGCACUUUCAGUGAGGAAGAACGCCUGGUGGUUAAUACCCAUCAGGAAAGACAUCACUCACAGAAGAAGCACCGGCUAACUCCGUGCCAGCAGCCGCGGUAAUACGGAGGGUGCGAGCGUUAAUCGGAAUUACUGGGCGUAAAGCGCGCGUAGGUGGCUUGAUAAGCCGGUUGUGAAAGCCCCGGGCUCAACCUGGGAACGGCAUCCGGAACUGUCAAGCUAGAGUGCAGGAGAGGAAGGUAGAAUUCCCGGUGUAGCGGUGAAAUGCGUAGAGAUCGGGAGGAAUACCAGUGGCGAAGGCGGCCUUCUGGACUAACACUGACACUGAGGUGCGAAAGCGUGGGUAGCAAACAGGAUUAGAUACCCCUGUAGUC